UGCUGCCAGUGCUUUUGAUGCAGCCAAAGAUAUAAUGGAAGCCUUACGCAGCAAACACUCCAAUCUGGCCGGUGAGCUUGAGAUCUUGCUCACUGAGAUCGGAUCUAGAUUUGUCACUUUGCCAGAGGAGAGACUGUUGGCAGUUGUUAAUGCGCUACUUCACCGUUGUUACAAGUACCCGACUGCAACUACAGCUGAAGUUCCUCAGUCUCUGAAGAAGGAGCUUUCUGGUGUGUGUAGAGCAUGUUUCUCAGCAGAUGCAGUGAACAAACAUGUCGACUUUGUAAGAGAAUAUAAGCAGGAUUUUGAACGUGAUCUCGAUCCUGACAGUGCUGCAACAUUUCCGGCCACUCUUUCUGAACUUACUGAAAGACUGAAGCAUUGGAAAAAUGUCCUGCAAAGCAAUGUAGAGGACCGGUUUCCAGCUGUGCUUAAGCUGGAAGAUGAAAGUAGGGUGUUGAGAGAUUUUCAUGUUGUUGAUGUCGAAAUUCCAGGACAGUACUUUACUGAUCAUGAAGUUGCACCAGAUCAUACUGUGAAGUUAGACAGGGUGGCAGCAGAUAUUCCAAUAGUGCGGAGACAUCGUAGCAGCUUCCGCCAUAUGACGCUGAUUGGAUCAGAUGGUUCUCAGCGCAAUUUUAUUGUUCAGUCAUCUUUAACACCAAAUGCCAG
rnacentral:misc_RNA from 1 species